rnacentral:rRNA from 1 species
AUUGAACGCUGGCGGCAUGCUUUACACAUGCAAGUCGAACGGUAACAGGCCUUCGGGUGCUGACGAGUGGCGAACGGGUGAGUAAUGCAUCGGAACGUGCCCAGAGGUGGGGGAUAACGCAGCGAAAGCUGUGCUAAUACCGCAUGUGAUCUGAGGAUGAAAGCGGGGGACCAGGCAGCAAUGUUUGGCCUCGCGCCUUUGGAGCGGCCGAUGUCAGAUUAGGUAGUUGGUGGGGUAAAGGCCUACCAAGCCGACGAUCUGUAGCUGGUCUGAGAGGACGACCAGCCACACUGGGACUGAGACACGGCCCAGACUCCUACGGGAGGCAGCAGUGGGGAAUUUUGGACAAUGGGCGCAAGCCUGAUCCAGCAAUGCCGCGUGCGAGAAGAAGGCCUUCGGGUUGUAAACCGCUUUUGUACGGAACGAAAAGGCUCUGGCUAAUACCUGGGGCUGAUGACGGUACCGUAAGAAUAAGCACCGGCUAACUACGUG